GACAUGUUGAAUGGAAUUUUUUUUUAUUUUGGAGAGAGAUGCUCUACACAGAUGUGCCUAUGAAAGAGAGGGCAAAGAAAACACAGGAUGUGUGCUGAAACCCAAUGAAAGCACUGGAAAGAUGCCCGUUGACUUUAGAGAGACUUGGAUCUGGUCUUGAAAUGGGCCUGAACGAGGAACACACAGGGCAGCCAAAGACAUCAGCAACAUCUGCCAGCCACCUCUGGAAGGCAGGAGCAUCGCUGAGGGCUGGAUGGAGGCUCCUCCAUCAGUGGAGCCCUCAGCCGCAGACAAGACCUUGACCCAUAGGAUAUUUAAAGCUGAAAGGAACCACUGGUUCCCUCAAGUCCAUCCUUUCCCAGCAAAAGACUAACUUCAAAGAGAGGUCACAUUGCUCAGGACCAUGCCCAGUUGUGUCUUGAGCAUCCCUAAAGAAUGCAUCUCCAAGGAUGGAACUUUCCCUGCUACAGUUCUCAGCCAUAACUUCCUGGCACUUCCCUGGGAAGGGAGAAAACUAGACCUCUCCACUCUGAAGCCAGACCUUGGAAAUGGAGGACAGCAAUUAUCUUCCCUCUCUGUGCUCAGCUCAGCCACGAUAUCACCAGUUCUUGGAUCUGUGGUACCAGGUGCCCCAAAUGUUCACGCUCCUUCUUGGGCAUUCCAAGCACCCUUCUGCUUCUAGUAUGUAACAAGAGUUCCCAGUGCUCAAAAUCCUGGGGAACACAUUCUUCUUCCUAACUCCAAAGGUAUUUGAGUGCCAGAAUGUUGCUCUCUGCCACCCUUUCUUUGACUCACAGUAAAAAGGUUUAUGAAGUUUGA